AGUUGAUUUUUCUGUGAUGUGUUUGUUAUGUGAGUAUUAUUUCAAAAUAUUUUUAAUAAAUAAAAAUGUAAGCAUUUUAGAAAAAAAUCAUUUCUGAUAUAGAAAUGCCUAAUAUAUUUCUCUUCUUGAUUAAAAACAUUGGAGAUCUUUUUCUUUUUUUGGUAUGUUCUUCAAUUAAUGUGCAAUCUACAGCACCCUCUACAGUGAAAAGCACUAGGCUGAGAUUAGGGUUCUGGACCACUGGAUAAGUGACAGAUUGUUGCAGAAAGUUAUUCAGACAGAACUUUAGCAAGUAUGUUACUGUUAGUUUCAUAGCUCAAAUUAAUAGUUGGCCAACAUAAGUACAAGUUCAUCAAACUUUUUUCUUUUGACUAGGUUGUCAGGCAGUGACUGAACUGUGUAAGACAAAAGUGAAAAUAUAAAGAAAUUAUUUGAGCGAUUUCAAAACUUAAGUUGUUUGGGUUCAGGUUUUCAUUUUUGUCGUGAAAUGCUUAAUUUUAGCCAGCAUAUUCUAAUUAUUUUAAUAAGUAAUUGUCUAGUUAAUUUUUCUAUUUCAACAUUGGGAAAAAUAGAUGUUAUAUUUUAUUAUGUGGUUAUAUAUCAAAAAAGAUACAGUAGCUGUGAUUCUAUUAAAAAUAUUGUAAAUGAGAGGAUAUUUAAUGGUUUUAAUUUGUCUUUUUUAAAGUUAGGCUGUUUGAAGGUUGAAAGUGUCAAAAACAAAUCUGGACUUGGGUAAGGAGAGUAUCUAAAUAGACUGUUACAAUACAGGGAGGAGGAGGAUUGCAAUAGGGGGAGGCAGAGUAUUGCAGCAGGAUAACUGCUUCAGCUAUGAGCUAUAAGUUUCUUAAGGGUUAAGCAGAAAAGGGCUUUUCUUUUAUAGUAAGGAGUAAACAAGGCUACAAAGAAUUGGGGCUGAGGAAUUGUAUGAGGGGGUGACUUGAUGGAACAGUUAUCGGGGAAUGUUUUUCCCUGAGGUCAGCUGGUUCUGGGAAGGGCUGUUAAGGAGGGGUUGCUCACCUUCCAUUGCUCCAGGCUGGACUAAAUUUCAGGGGUUUCCAGGAAGGAGAGGAGUCUGACUAAAGUUUGGUCAGGUUGUUUGUAUGCAUUGACCAACCAGAAUGGUAAAUGGGGACAAACAGUUCGGCGAAUCAUGUAUGAGACAGAGAAUGGGAAUUUGGAAGGUCUAUGUUUAGCCUUGUCAUUGGUUGCAAAGUGGUCAUCUGUCAGUUUUAUCUAGCAGGUCCUCUCCCACAACACAAAAGGGUGGGGGUAAUUUCUUGACUGUGGCUUUUUCCAAGAGUACAGAGUUCAUGUGAAGUUCACUGUUACCUCCAGGUUCCCUGUGGUGAUAAUAAAUUCACACAGGAUAGUAGGAAAAUGCUUUGGCAGCUGAACAGAAGGGUCUUAUGGGGAGCUGAAAUAUUGUGCGAGGAUACUGUACAGUUCUGGCACUUUAGGAGAAAGUUCAAAAUACUGGUCAGCUUGUUGUUCCCUCACAAUUGGGUAUCAGUUACAGCUGGGGGCAGUGGCUCACGCCUGUAAUCCUAGCACUUUGGGAAGCCGAAGUGGGUAGAUAACUUGAAGUCAGGAGCUCAAGACAAGCCUGUGGUGAAUCCCAUCUCUACCAUAAAAUACAAAAACUAGCAGGGUAUGUUGUUGGCAAGCACUUGUAGUCCCAGCUACUUGGGAGGCUGAGGCAGAAGAAUCACUUGAACCUGGGAGGCAGAGGUUGUAGUGAGCUGAGAUCAUACACUCCAGCCUAAGUGGCAAUUGAGAUCCUGUCUCAUAAAAAAAAAAGAGGUGGGCGUCAGUUUUUUUGUACCAGCUGCUUUGCCAUAAUCAAGGCUCAGUUUUCACAUUCUCUUCUGAUGCUUCUACACUUCCUUUCUCCUCUGCUGCUUCUGCUUCCUAAAAUGUAAAACUCUUCUUGAAAGAGGAGGCUGGGUCAUUUACUCACCACCCAAUAUGAAUCACUCCAUCCUCAGGUUACCUCAUAGUGUACAGGUCUCUGUUAUAUGUGAUAUCUGUGGAUUGUUCAUUUGUGGCCCUGGGUAUCAAUAUGCUUUCUUCUGUCCUGUGGGGCCUCUGGGGAACACAGGCCCUUGGAAAGGGUCUCAGGAAGUCCUCUCCAGUAGUUUUAGCAAGGUAUCACUCUAGCUAGUAAGUUAAUGUAUAUGCCCUAAAUUUCAUAAAUAUAUGCCCUUUAAUUUUUUAAAAUUUAAAAGAUCAUAUCUAUCUGUAUAUACAUAAAAGAUAUAUGCACACAUAUGAUCUUUUAUAUAUUCACACACAUGUGUAUAUACAUGAUCCUAGUUUUGUCCUUAGGAAGUACAACUGAUGAUAUCUACUUCAUUUGAAGAUCACUCUCACGAGUUUUCUUCUUAUUCUUAUGAAGAAAACAUUGAAUUUGCUGUGUUAGCACACACUUAGUAACAGUAAUAAUGGCCUUUUUUUGGGUUUUGCUGUCUUCCCAUGGGAGCCACACAAUAGUGCCGUUUUCUCUUUUUGUGUCCACUCCCAAAGCAAUAUCUUCUUCUUAAAAAUACUUAAUAUUGUAUAUUUGUUAAAUUGAAUUAUUUAAUAUAUGUAAUUGAAUUUGUAGCAUCUCUGACUAAUAGGACAUUCAGCAUUGGAGACUUGAUGCAGUGAACCAUUUGGCUCUGGUUUUGUUAUUUAUCUGAUCAAUCAAUAAAAAUAUUUUGGGAGUAAUUAUUGAAAUAACAUAAAAUGGUGUAAAGCAGAACAUCAUUAACUACCUCAUCAUUAUUUUGUUUUUUAAAUAUUAUCUUGCUCUUGCCUAAAUGUGUAAUUUUUCAUAGCUGCUACAUAAUGUAUAAGGGUAUGGUAAGUUUAUAUGAAGACGGGAAGCAACUUUUGCUUACUCCCAAAAAUAAUUUGGUAAUUUUAGCUCACCUCUCCGGCUGUGAUGAUUGUAAUUUGGCCAUGUUUUACAUCUCACAAGGAUAGUCUCAUCAGGAAUGGAAAAGGGAUGCCAAGUGAAUGUAUGCUGUAAUGGCUUUAUUUACAGCUUUCUCCUGUGCAGCUUGUUUGCCUGGUGUGGAAGGAGCAGAACAGCUGUUAAUCUUUCAGGUGAACAAGGUAACAUGGCAGGAAACUAGAGAGCUACCUCUAUUAAGAAGGGAGUGAAAAACAGUACCCCUAGUCACUAUGCCAAAGCAGCCCAGUCAUCACCUCCUAUUAGACUUCUGAUAUUCUCUUUUCAUGGCCCUAUUAGUACAUUGGAACACUUGGUCUUAGUUGCUAUGAAGGAAAUGAUUCGAUAUUUUAAACUUCUUUCUAAUAAAGUGUUUUUCUGAAUUGCCUUAACUUCUUUAAAUGUGACCCAGGAUGGACGUCUCAUGUAUUAUAUGUUUCUCUUUAGGAAAUUAUGCAUAUUUAGUAUGUUUUAAUAAAACAGAUUUUGCAGGUGUUAUAGUACACAGGGUGGUAGCACAAGUUUAGUGUUAGGGAGACCUGGGUUCAAACUGAGGUUAUUAUAACCAAGGCUGUUUUUUGUUUAAACUUUUUAUUUUGAAAUAAUUAUAGAAAAGACAAAAAUAAUGCAGAGUCCUAUGAACCCUGUGUAAACUUUUCCCAAUGGUGACUUUGUAUAUAGCUAUAGUACAAUAUCAAAAGCAAAUUUUAACAAAUAAUUUCAACAUUUAUUUUAGAUUUAGGGAGUACCUGUAUACUUGUUACAUGGGUAUAUUGCAUAAUGCCAAAGUUUGGGGUAUGAUUGAUCCUGUCACCAAGGUAGUGAGCACAGUACCCAAUAGUUACUUUUUCAACUCUUGCACCUUCUUUUCCUUCCCCUUUAGUAGUCCCCAGUGUGUAUGAUUGCCAUCUUUAUGUUCAUGUUUACCCAGUGUCAAAAACCGAAAGUUGAUAUUGGUGCAUUACUGUUAUCUAGACUACAGACUUUAUUAAGUUUUAACCAUUUUUAAACUUGCAUUCAUGUGAAUGUGUGUAUAUUUGUGUGUAGUUUGGUAGUGUUAUUUCACGUAUAGAUUCAUGUGACCACCACCACAAUCUGGAUACAGAACUAUUCCAUUAUCAUAAAAAACUCCCUCAUGCUGCCACCCUUGUGUUUAUAUCCACUUAUCUGCCUCCCUCCCUGUUUUUCAUCUCUAUGGUUUUGUCAUUUUUAGAAUGGUAUAUAAUUCUAAAAAUACAUAAUCAAUAAUGCUGCAGCGAACGUGCCGUACAGAUAUCCCUUUGACAUAAGGACUUAAGUUCCUUUGGAUACCUCUAAGUAGAAUCAAUAGAUCAUACGGAAGUUCUAUUUUUAGCAUGUUGCGGAAUCUCCAUGGUGUUUUCCAUAACGGCUCUACUAAUUUAUGUUCCCAACAGUGUGCAGGAGUUCUCUUCUCUGCAUCUUUACCAACACUUGUUAUCUUUGAACUUGACAAAAGCCAUUCCAACAGCUUUCUUGCCAAUUUCCUUGAAUGGGAGAGUGAGUUUUCUAAACCAAGCUUCAGCAAUGGCUUUAUGCAGAUGAAGUCUUGCUCUGUCACCCAGGCUGGAGAGGAGUGGCACAACCUCAGCUCAGCUCACUGCAACCACCGCCUCUCAGGUUCAAGCAAUUCUCCUGCCUCAGUCUCCUGAGUAGCUGGGAUUACAAGCGUAUGCCACCAUACCUGGCUAAUUUUUGUAUUUUAAGUAGAGACAGAAUUUUGCCAUGUUGGCCAGGCUGGUCUCAAACUCCUGACCUCAAGUGAUCUACUUGUCUUGGCUUCCCAGAGUGCUGGGCCAAUAUGCUGGCCAAUAAAGCAUUAUUCUGAUUAUGCACGUAGGGAGGGGUCAAAUCAGGUAAUAAAGAAAUAAACCAAAAAUUUAGUAUGUGUCAGGAUUUUAUAAGCGCACUGACAGAAGACAAAGCAAAGUAAUGGGGACAGAGUAUGAGCAGAGGGUGUAACUUUACAUAUAGUAGUAGAGAAAGCUGUCUAAUGACAUAUGAGCAGAAAUCCCCCUAAAUGAACUUGGAUCCAUUUGUCUAUCUGUGCAAGAUCAUUACAGGCAGCAGGUUUGACAGGACCAUACUCAACCUGCUGUAAGAAUGCAGGGAAUGGAGUGAGUAAGGUGAGAAUAUGGUUAAGUCAGGUUAGGUAAAUGGCAGAGGGGAUUAUGUAAGUUCACUUUGACUUUGAGGGAGACAGAAAACCUGGAGGAUUUUAAGUAUAAGAAUGCCAGGAUAUGUUUGAUGAUUUAAAGAAAGCAUUGACCCUUCAUGCUUUAAGGAAACAUCAAAUGUAUCCAGAAGACAAGAGUGGAAGUAUGAGCACUACCUAGGCUGAUGUUUCAGUAGUCCAAACUAGAGACAAUGGUGGUUUUAUCCAGGUGGUCAACGUGGAGGUAGUGAAAAGUGGUUGGAUUCUAGAUAUGUUUCACAAGUGAAGACAGCAGGUUGGUUCAAGGGAUGUGGAGAGAAGAUAAAUACGGAGUUGAGGAUGGUCCUGAGAAAUUUGGUCUAAGCAACUGGAAAAGUAGAGUUGUUAUUUAAUGAAAUGGGGGUAAUUUGUAGAAAGAACAGACAUGGGCAUAAAUAUUAAGGGCAUGGUAUAGAUAUGUGAAGUUUGAGAUAACUGCAAAAUAUUCAAGAUGCUGAGUAGCGAAUAGGGCUUGGUGAUAUAGUUUUGGGAGCCCUCAGCAUAAAGACAGCAAUUAAAGGCAUGACAUUAUACAAAAUCAUGUAAGGAGUGAGUGUCAAUAAAAAAGAGAAUGGAGCCUUGGGUUAUGCCAUUGUCUAGAGCUCAUAAAGAUGAGGAUGACCAGAAAUGGAUAUGAGAAACAGUAGCCAGUAAGGGAGAAAGAGAACUAAGAAAGGAAAUAACUAGUGGACUCUUGGAAGCUGUGAUGAAAAUGAUAUAAGAAACUAGGGGAGUGAUCAAUUCAUCACAUGUUUCUCAGAGAUUGGGUAACAUGUGGAAUGAGACUUAGAGUUGGUGACAUGGAAGGCAAUGAUAACUUCCUUAUUCUAUCUCUGAUGAUACAAUAUAGCAUCAUAGAGCAUCUGGAUAUCUUGCAAAUUAUUUUGCUUAAAUUAUUUUACAGAUUGGGAUUCAGGAGGAUGACUUUUUCUAUGACAUAGUCUCUUGGUUGCAAAAUAAAUGUGUGUGAUUACAAAAUAAUUAGAUUUUUUAAAAAAGAUCAGAGAACCCCACACUAUUGCAGUACUGCCUUGAAAGUCUGUAUUUUUAUUCCACUGCUCCUGCUGUUCUAAGUCAUUUUUGUGACAUACUUCAAAUUGUUUUCAAAACUAUAUUAAAAGCGACUCAUCAGAAAGACUAACAUUAUUUAUAAUUGGUAGUUCUCAUCAUGCUUUGAUUUUGGGUAGCUCUUACUUGCCAUCACAGAUAUUGUUCAGAAUAAAUGAUGUAGAAUGAGAAGAAAGAUACAACAGAUUUCAUGAAUGGCACUACUAAUGGGUAAAGUUGUACUCUCCUGAGAAGAGGCAGGUAUUAUCUGUGUAAACAAUUCUGGUGUUGAUAUACAUAUUAUAGGUUAAAAAAAUAGUUCUGCUGACCUACAUUUCCUUAUGUGCAGUGGUUAUUCCUUUAAUGGUUCUCUUGAAUCUCUUUUGGGAUGUUAAUUUUUACCCUAUAUUCUUGUCAGAAGGGCUGAAUUAUCAGCAAAAACCUAUAUAUAUAUUCCCAGUUAGGAAUGUAACUCUUCCAAAUGGCUAAGAGGUGUUAAAGAUUAAACCAAGUAUAUCUUUUAAGAUUUAUUCUUUUUCCCUGGAGGAAUUUGGAAAUUGUUCUGUGCCCUCAUUAGAAUUAUCAGGGAAAUGGUGUUGGUAAUUUAAUUUCAAAUAAUUAUAUCAUUAUUCAAAUAAGAGAGAAAGUGAUUUUAAAAGCUGUAUAUUGAUUCAAGGUGAGAUGGUUGACUAGAUGCAGCUAGGAGGAACAUCUGUUUCCUGGGCACUGGGACAUAGGGAAGACUGGUGCACCCCGAGCAGACCUUCAGAAGGAAGGCAUUGGGAGUGAAUGGAGGGAGGACACAGACUCUGGGCUAAGGGAGGAGGAAGCUGUGCACUGUGCACAGGGCUACUGAGCACUGAGACUCAUUCCCGGCCCCAAAGACUCCUGGAGUAGGGGUGAGUUGGCCAAAUGAGAAGUAAUCUACUCUUGCUGUGGACCUCUUGAAUCCUGGCAUCAGGAAACCCCAUGACCCUCGUGAACACUCACUCGAAUUGGCAGGGAGAGCUGUUUGGAAAGGUGGUAAGGGGCAGUCCUCCAGCCUUUGCAGAGCCCAGAGGGUCUGGUGCAGGAAUGUCUGCAGGGGAGCAUGGCCAGGGACACCCAUCCCCUAAGGCUCACAUGCAUUCCUAGGAGACUUUAGCCUUAGAGGAACUGAGGGACCCAAACAGUUCAAGGUGAUUUAGCCAUGUGAGUCACAGCCAGUCCAACCUGAAUGCCCUGUGUCUGCUGACCUCUCUCCCAAUGCCCCAGCCUGGCCUUGCCUGCUUGCAGUGCAGCCUUGGAUGCUCAAGGGGUGCCUCCUGGAGACUGCAUCAUAGCUCCUGUGCUGGCAGACUGUGCCUGACUGUCAGAGAGUUCCAGCAGAGCAGCUCCUGCCAACAUGUACCAGCCACCUGCAUCCUUCCCCCACUGCAGCCAUUCCCAUGCCAUUCUGUCAUCAUGCACGUAUCUACAGCCACCUCCAUCACUUUGCCAGGACAGGUAUGGGCAGACCUCGCUUAGCCUUCUCCACUGGCAUAUCCACUGGCAAGAAUAAGCACACAGAGGCAGGCGGUCUCAUGCCUACCAGUGCCCUGGCCUGGUGCUGACACUGCUGUACACGGAUCCCAACUGCCCUGCUCUCCCCUCCCACCUCAUUCAGCCACCUUUAUUUCUUCCAAUGCCCACAUGGAGCUGGCAGCCUCUGGUGUGCCAGUGCCCCACCCCAGCCAACCAGUAUGUACCCCACAGCACUACCACUGCUGCUGGCAUGAGUGAAUGAGCACAGAUCCCCUUGCCACUGCCCAGCAAAGCACUUUGGCUGGUGCCACCCUUCUGAGUGUUGUGACUAGCAAUCUAGGAACAUCUUGGCUUUUCCGGUGCAGCAGAUUCUCAACCUUGAAGCAGAGGGUAAAACAAAGCCAGAGAAUCCACACCAGCCCCAUUGAGUUAGAACAAGUAGCCCAGGAGUGCUGAGCUGAGCCUUGAUUCCUCCCUCCAACAAAAAUUUUACAGGAAGCAAAGCUAGUCAACUGAACCUACCUCAUGCUACAAUCAAACCCUCAUGGGCAUCAAAGAAGAUAAAAGCAAAGCAAACAACAACAAACCCAACCCAGAAACAACAACAGCAAAACAAAAAUCAUCCAAAGGACAGCAAUUUUGAAGACUGAAGGAACAGGAACGUCAGUCAACACAGACGAGAAAGAACCAGCACAAGAAUUCUGACGACUCAAAAAGCCAGAGUGUCUUCUUACCUCCAAAUGACUGUACUAGUUUCCUGGCAGUGGUUCUCAGGCGAAUAUGGAUAGGAAUAAAGAUCAUCAACAUUCAGUAGAAAGCCAAAAUCCAAUCCAAGGAUUCUAAGAAACACAAUAAAACAAUAUAGGAGAUGAAAGACAAAGUGGCUAUUUUAAGAAGAGAAUCAAACUGAGCUGAUAAAGCUGAAACUCUCACUUCAAGAAUUUCAGAAUACAAUUGCAAGCAUUAACAGCAAAAUCAAGGAAGCCAAGGAAAGUAUCUCAGAGCUUGAAAACCUGCUCUCUGAAAUAACUCAGACAAAAAAAAAAAAGGAAUUAACAAUACCUCUGAGAAAUGGGAUUAUGGGCCAGGCGAGGUGGCUCAUGCCUACAGUCCCAGAACUUUGGGAGGCUGAGGUGGGGGAUCAUGAGAUCAGUUUAAGACCAGCCUGGUCAAUAUAAUGAAACCUCAUCUCUACUAAAAAUACAAAAAUUAGCCAGGCAUGCAUCUGUAGUCCCAGCUACUUGGGAGGCUGAAGCAAGAGAAUUGCUUUAACCCUGGAGGCGGAGGUUGCAGUGAGCCAAGACUGUGCCAUUGUACUCCAGCCUGGGCAACAGAGCAAGACUGUCUCAAAAGCAAGCAAACAAACAAAACACCACCACAGUGUUGUGAAGCUUAUUUUUAUUUUAUUUUUUGAGAUUGGGUCUCACUAUGCUGCCCAGGUCGUUCUUGAACUUUUGGGCUCAAGCAAUCGUCCUGUCUCAGCCUCCUGAGUAGCUGGUAUUGUAGGUCACACAACUAACUGCACCUGGCUGUGAAACCUAUUUUAAAAAAAAUAUUGAGUGGUACUAGGUUUUAAAGCAUGGAUGGUACUAGGAUUUAAAGUAUGAUUGAAGAGAUUACUGGUCAUGAGUACAUAUACUAACUGGAUCCUAGCAGAACCUGUCACUGGGUUUGCCUCUGUGAAAUGUAUUCUUAAAUUUCAGAAGUCUACAUCUACUUCCUGUGCAUCAGUUCUAUUUUGUCAAGUGUGAAAUCACUAGGAGCCUACUUUCUUGUUCUAACCUUGCUGCUAAGCUUGUAGCCCAUUGGAUAAGUCAGAUAUCCUUUCUGGAACUCUGAGUUUUCUGUGAAAGGGGGCUUGAUGCAAUUUGUUAUAAAUAAUGUUUUACUGGAAAACAGACCAAAAAGUGGGAAUUUACUCUAACUCAGAACUUUGAUGAAUCAAAUCAGCUCUGUUAUAUAUGCAUUCUAUCAGGCAGAAAAAGUUAAUAAUGCUUAAGUUUAUUGUGUUCCCUUCCUACUGCACCCUAGAACUAAGACUUUGCAAAGCCAAGAAUAUAUCACAGGAAGAGUUUAUGUUUCCCCUGGCACUGCCAGUUGAAUGAUUGAAUGAAAGCUGGUAGGUGGUAAAACAGCCUGGAAGUCCUCUCUUGCUUUGAAAAUUGUAGGUUCAUCUUUCCUGCUUAUCUUAUUUAUAAACAAGCCUGGUGGUUUAGUAGAGAACUUGCAACCACCUAGAACCAAAAUGCAAAGCCUUGGCCAGCUCUUCAAUGCACUUGUGGUCUGACAAAGGUAACUUCCUUUCAAGCUGGAUCAGAAGUUUCCUAGAAAGGACAGCUUGCAUUUUCUGUUAUUCAGUCACACUUCUGAAAUUUCUUAAUAAAAAAUUUUUAUGUUAUAUGUAGUAAUAUGCAAAUAUAUCUAAUUAUAAGUAUAUAUCUGGGGUAUUUAGACAUCUAGACAAAUAGAGAAAAAAUGUUUUCUCUAUUUGAUCCCAUUUUUCAGCCACGUUUUACUGUACAUAAUGGAUGACCACUUAGAAGGCUCAAGAUAUUUUAAUUUCACUGUUUAUUUGUCAACUCUGAUCUCAUUGCUUUGUAGUUUCAUGCUGUAUCUCUUUUCUUUCUUAAAAUGAAUAAGCAUGUAAGCCACUUGUUUGGCAAAAGCCCAGGCAUUUUUAAGCUCUGUUGCUUGCAAAGUCAUCCUUUGCAGUAAUUUUGUGUUGCACUGUGAUGGUGAUAAUUAAGAUGUUCUACUUUCUGUCCAGUGACAGAAAAUAUGAUUAUUUUGGGCCAAAGUCUUAAGAUGCUGUACUCUGAAAGAAGCCAGAAGAACAGUUAUUGAUGCAGAGCAAUAUUAAAGCAGUUCAGUAGUAACACUGAAGAGUUUUUCAUUUCGACAAAGACUUCUCUCUUUUUUUGUAUUUUUAGUCGAUAUAUCAUAAUUGUAUUCACAAUGCUUCUUCUAAAACAAAAACUGUGGAUCAGGUAGCUAAAGAAACAAUGCGUUUUAUGGAUUAAGAGAGUAGACUUUGGCAUCAAAUUGGCAUGGGUGUGAAUUCUACAUCUUUUUUUUUUAAAGUAUUUAUUUGGCUAUGUGAUCCUGCCCUUGUUUAGCAUCUAAGCUUUAGUUUUUUAAUCUGUAAAAUGGAAUUAAUAUAUCGAAACCACUAUGAAAUUCAAGUGAUGUUAUGAAUAGGAAGUACUCAAUAUAAUAGUUGACAUGUUGUAAAUUCUGAAUAUAUGGCUAAGACAAAUAGUAUUCCAUUAUUCAAACGUAUUUUCUGUUUAACUUUCUGUAAUGUAGUUUCUGUAUAAUUUUCUGUAAAAAGUUAUAACUCAUACUGUUUCCAUAUGCAAAUUCACCAUGGUAAUGCCAAUGAAAAUGUUUGAGUCAGUAUAGAAAUGUAAUGAGCUUGGCCUGUAGCCAAGUAUUUAAGAAGUGUUUUGGAUCGUUUGUAGCUCUAGAGGCUGCAAUAGUAAAUCUUCCAAUAUAGUUUUUUUUCUGAUUAACAUUUUUAAGUUUUAGAUUCCUCCCUUAGGAUAGUGAACUCUUUCAGGAAUGGAUUUGAAAACAUAGAAUGGUAAUUCUGGAACUAUAAACAUAUUGGCAGCAUAAUUAGACAUUAAAAUGGAGAAGUUACAUUGAAUUGAAAUGUCCAGGGAAAAUAAGAUAGGAAGAUUUCUUUGACAAAAUUUGUUAAGAGUUAUCCAUGUACAUUUUAUGGUAAUACUCUUGAUACGUGUAGAAAUCAGGCAGUUGUACAUUAUCUUUAUAUAGAGAUGAUAAUUGUCUAACAGCAUUAAUGCUUUCCAACUUACCAAAUGAGCCACUUGUUGCUGGAUUUUUAGAUUCUUAAGCUGGAGUUUGGUGUGAAUAGAUUGGUGAAAAUAUGGGAAACACUGAAAAAUUUUUUAAAGGAAACAAGUCAGUCCUUGAAAAAUCAUUAGAAGUUAUAGAUUUUAAGAAUAAGAAUGUUUAUAAUAAGUUGGUAUACAAGCAACUUUUUAUGGGCUAGAGGGUAUAACUUAUUUCCAAACCCAAUUCAAAUUGAUACUUUUAAAACAUAAAAUGAUAUACAACAAUCACAGCAUCUGUUUUAAAAUAUGGUUUGUUUUUUACAAAAUCUGUACUGACCAUAUACUCCAUGUGAGUCAUUUAUUUGAGAAGCUAAAAUCAUUUCUUUUCUGACAUGGACAGAAUAACUGUCAUAAAAUAUAAUGGGCAAGUAGAAGGAGCUAAUUUUAUGCUCACAUUCAUGCUGUAAAUCUCCUAUAAUUAAGAUUUAAAUGCGUAAAUACCGUAUAAUGAUGAAUACAAUUACUUGGAUCAUAAAACAAAUGCUUAGGAUUUGAGGCUGGCAAAGACCCUUCAUCAGCAGAAUGCCUUUCUGAUAGGCAUACUCUAGUUUGGAAUGGGAUAAUUCAGACCAAGGAUUUUGGGAACAGUUUGCUUGGCUGUAGCGAGGGGGCCAUAGGAAGGUUCUAGAGUAGAUGAUUGUAGGGAGACUAACCUUCAAGGAGUCUAGUGACAGUCUAGAUAAGUGACCAUUAUUUGUAGGAAAGCCCAGUGUUAUGAUGCAGGCAAUCAUUUUGGCAAAGACACAGAAGAUGGCAUCACCAGGGCCUGGCUGCUGGCAAUGGUCAGAAAUCCAGGUGGGCUUGGGAGGAUGAGGUGGGCAGAUCACAAGGUCAGGAGGUUGAGACCAGCCUGGCCAACAUAGUGGAACCCUGUCUCUACUGAAAACACAAAAAUUAGCUGGGCAUGGUGGCAUGCACCUGUAUUCCCACCUACUUGGGAGGCUGAGGCACGAGAAUCACUUGAACCCAGGAGGCAAAGGUUGCAGUGAGCCAAGAUUGCACCAGCCUGGGUGACAGAGUGAGACUCAGUCUCAAAAAAUUAAAAUGAAGUAAAACAUGUUAAGUACCCAAAAACAGAACUUUAAAAAAAGACAAGAUUAAUUUCUGCCUCUAACAUUUGUAAACCAGAAUAAAUAUGAAAUGAAAACAAACAUUUUUAUAAAAGUUUCCAAGUAGCUGGGACUACAGGUAUGUACCACCACACCCACCUAAUUUUUAUAUUUUUAGUAGAGAGGGAGUUUCACCUUGAUGGCCAGGUUCUCUCAAACUCCUGGCUUCAACUGAUCCACCCACCUCAGCCUCCCAAAGUGCUGGGAUUAUAGACGUGAGCCACCGUCCCCAGCCAGGGACUUAAUCUUUAUUGCAAUCAACAGAACAUACUGUGAUAGAACAUAAUUAUUUUGUAAAAUUAAAAUAUUAUGUAUUUGAAAGUAGAACUCAUGGACUUUUAAGUGAUAAAAGCCAGUCUUUUGGAGGAAUUUAAAACAAUGGGUUCCAAAUGCCACUCCAUGAUCUAGUGCCAUAGUAACACUCUCAUAUUCUGAAGAAUUUGUUUAAUAAUACAAAUUAUUGCUCCCUUGCAACUACCCAUCUAAAGACAGUCUCAUUCAGUAGCUCCAAAAGCUUUAGGCAUUUGGUUGUGUAAUUUUAUCUCAUACCCCCUUCUAAGAAUCCCUCCCCAAAGAAGUGGCUUACCUCCUUUCUAAAGUCGAUUUCUUCACAUGGGUUCUAAAUACUGUGUGUUCUCACUCCAGGAUCUCUUUCCUCCCACUCACAUCUCCCCCCAUCAAUUAGGUUAUGGUUUUGUUUCCCUUUACUUUAAAUUCUCAUAAGCCGUUAACUCCUUCACAUGUUCACAAGUCUCCCAUUUUUUUUUUUUUUUUUUUUUUUUUGAGACGGAGUUUCACUCUUGUCACCCAGGCUGGAGUGCAAUGGCGCGAUCUCGGCUCACCGCAACCUCCGCCUCCUGGGUUCAGGCAAUUCUCCUGCCUCAGCCUCCCAAGUAGCUGGGAUUACAGGCGCGCGCCACCAUGCCCAGCUAAUAUUUUGUAUUUUUAGUAGAGACGGGGUUUCACCAUGUUGACCAGGAUGGUCUCGAUCUCUUGACCUCGUGAUCCACCCGCCUCGGCCUCCCAAAGUGCUGGGAUUACAGGCGUGAGCCACUGCGCCCGGCCAAGUCUCCCAUUUUUUAAACAAAUUAACAUUUUGCCUCUAUUCCUUUUCUAGCUGUUAUUUUAUUCCUGUAUAAUUUAUUGUGCCCAUUUUUUCUCUACCUCCAUUUCCUUGAUGUAGCCGUCUGGCAUCUUUCCUCUUUCAUGCCAAAUCUAGAGGCUGUUUUUCAUUCUCCUCUACUCUUCUGCUGCUGUUUCUCCUUUCUUCUUGAAACUUCUGUCUUUGCUUGGCUCCCCUGGCAUCCUACCAUCCUGGCUCUUUUCUUGGCCUUUUAGACAUAUCUUUUCUGCCUUAGUCUCUCAAUAAGAUUUCUUUCCCCUGUAAUGAGGACCACCAGUAAACCAACCAGAGAGCGCUACUCCUUCAUGGAUCAUUCUCUGAGAUCAUCCAUUCUUCUAACUUCUGUUGAGAUAACUUACAAAUCCUUAUCACUGAUUCUAGCUUAUUCCUGAUAUUUUACGUAUGUCACUACUAUUUGAUAUUUUCUCUUAAAUUUCUAAAAGCCAGAAUCAAAAUGCUGAAAAAAUAACAAUGAUAUCUUCUUUGCCAAAUAGAUGCUUUUACAGAAAUAACAGAAAUCCUUGAGUUACUCUAUUAUUAAUCUACCUACUAAGUAAUUUAUAUUUAUAAUCUAAGUAAUUUUGAGAUAUUUCUAAUGUAUUUCUAAAAAAUACAUGAAAUCCAAAAAAUAAAAUAAACUUAGUUUGUAUCAUGAAGAGGAGAGGUAAGUAUAACAGAAAUGACUUUUGUUAACCAAUCUUUUAAAAUGCCUUUUGAAAAUGCAAAAAAAAUUUUUAAACAUCUAUAAAAGUAUAUAUGAAAACAGUUUACAAGUACUCAAAAAAGUAAGUUUAUUUAUACAUUUUUUCAGCAAAUCAUGAACUGAAUGGCGUUUUCCUAUAUCACUUGGUUUUUUUUUUACAUAUUCUGAGUAUCAAGAUGUGCAUAAUAAUAUAAAAUUAGAAAUGUCAUUUUAUUAAAGAAAAAACCAUUAAAAUCUCAUAAGCUAAAUUUUAAAUUCUCAUUUUAUCCAUUUUAAUAAUGUUAAAAUAUAAAUUUUGAUUGAGACACAAGAUAUAUUAAAUAUGGCAUUCCAUAGUCAGAUGCUGGACCAACAUUGCAAUUUUCAGAAGUAUCUAAAAAACCAUAUAAUUCUUAAAUCCCAUACCAGAUCAAUAUUACUGGCAUAAUAAACAUAAUAAAAAUUGAGAGCAGAUGUUUGCAGAGCUUCUGUGCAUGAUAAACCUACAAACCACAAUAUAAGGGAGAGGUUUGUAGGUGCCUGAUCCUUACCUUUCAGUUUAAUAUGUGACCCUCAAGGUUUCAAAGUGAUAUGGUACAAUGGCAUCUGACUUUUGCCUGGAAUAUCUAAAAAAUGAGAGGGUGGCUAUUCAGUUGCUCUGAUGGAGAGAGCUGUGAUAGAAUCAGCCUAUACUCCUCGAGUUUCUUUGGUCAAAGUAUGUAUAUUUGCUGUGGGCCGGCCACAUGUGGUCAUGUUUGAGAGAGUGCUGAUGUGGGGUUGUCUUAAGUCUGAUCCAGAAGAGCCACCUGAAGAGAAAACAAGGCCUCAGAAGAAUUUGUGUCACCAGAUGCACAUAGAUUGAAGAAGGAAUAAGUAGCUAAUUAGAAUCAAGAUAUGUUUCUCUUUGUUAAAAAAACAGAAGGUGAGUGAGUCAAAAGGUGAAGGGGAGGGUGCCCAUAAGAUAGCAAAUCAGCUUUAAACACGAGUCCAGUUUAAAACAAUAGCAGUCAGGUAAAAAUUUUCUUGUUCUUAUACCUCUUCUUCACCACUGCAACCCUAGAUGGGUCAGAACACUGGUGAGAAGGGGUAAAAGUACAGAAAGGGAAAGAGAGACAGCUGGCCUUGUCCUCCUUCCUCACACUGGGGCAACUGGCUGCAAUAACAGAAGGAGCCUCAACUUUAAAUCAAGGUUGUAGUUUUGGUUAUUACACUGAAUUGCCAGACAUACUGAGUAAUGGACUGAAACUCUGUUUGUACUUUCAAACAAUAGGGCACUCUAUACCUAAAAGUGACCUGGAAAGUCAUGAGACAUAAAUUAAAUUCAUCCAGGUGUAAGGGGAAGUUGGGCUAACUGACAUGCACACACUGAAUAAUACACACUACAAUUUGUGUCUGUCUUCAUAGAAAGGCUGUAUACUCAGACAUGUACACACACAUAUGAUGCAAAAUGCAUACAAAACUAUAUCAUGGUGUUAAUUAUUAAAAUUUCAUUUAGUAAAUUAUGUAAUUCAAAAUUUAGUUAACACACCAUAAAAUGUAAUGCAGUGAUAUUUCAAGAAAACCCACAACUAGAAAAUUCUUCUAAAUUAUGAGAAUUUGUAAGAGGACUUAUUUUUAUCAACUGUUCCUUUAUUAUAAAUAAAAAGAAAUUAAACUUGGGAUGCAGUGAAUAGAUUAUGUUGAUUGAUGAAAUGAAUACAUUAAAGUUUCAUUUUAACAUAAUAUUUGUGAAGGCAAGUCCUGAAAAUAAUAAGCAAAGCUGAAGAGUACUUAAAAGAAGAUUUAAAAUAACUUACAUAAGCAGUACAACAGGUAUGCAUGUGAAAGAUAUUAUAAAGAAUCAGGUUUAUUCUUGUUUUUAAGAACCCUCAGCUCCCCUAUUCAGUCAAGGAUAUCUGCUUUCUUAUCCAUCUCAGCAAAAAGAUUUAUAAUUCCAUCACAGGGCCUAAUUUUCUUUUACAAAGUCUGUGGUAUUCACUGCAAUAGACUAUGGAAACAAUUCAUUACACAGGCUUACAGUUGGACUGGUUUAUAUUACCCAUACUUUACAAUAAUGAAUUUGGAGGAGAUGCAAAAUAAAAAGGCAAAUCAUGGCCAAACUGAGAGUUAACCAUUCAGAACACUGAAAGCUGUAUACUUCUAAUUUUAUCAACAGUUAUAUACGUUAGGAAAAAAAUUUCUUUCAAUAUCACAUUUUAAACACCAAGUAAUCCUACUCUGCUGAAUUAUUUUUGCAACGAGCCUACAGAGGGUUUUACCGUACAAUUAUAACUUUUGGAGAUCUAACAGUUUUUUGGUAGCUAAUCCUUUCCUCUUAUGUUGAACAAGUUUGUAGUAAUACCUUUGACUCCUUCUCAAUAUUUACAUAUAGCCAGUACUGUCCUUAAUCUUCCUCUUUUCUCCAUUUGCUUUCCUAUUUAUCUUUGUGUUUUCCAUUGGCAUUUUCAACUCAGAGGACAAGAACAUCUGCGCGAAUGUUUUCAUUCCUCUCUGUAAAUUCCUCAAUGAGCAGGAACAAUAUCAUAUUCUUAUUUGUAACCCUCACUACCCUUGGCUCAAUGUUUUGCACAUAUGAUAUUCCCAAAGCAUAUUUGAUGACUUACUCUAAGAUGAGAGGGCCUUUCCUAACCUGAACCACAGUCCUUAAGGAUAGCUCUCUGCUGUCAGUCAGAUUUUCCACUGCGUAUAUGCCUACCUAGAAUUCUUUUUCUUUUUCUUCUUCUUUCUUGAGACUAAGUUUUGCUCUGUCACCCAGGCUGGAGUGCAGUGACAUGACCUUGGCUCACUGUAACCUGCGCCUCCCGGGUUUAAGCAGUUCUCUUUCAUACAGCUAUGUAUGGAAGACCUGCUACUAACAUUUUAGUAAUGAGCAAAAGCUGCAAGCAUGUCCUUUGAAACUGGAACAAGAGAAGAAUCCCCACUCUCAUCACUCCUAUUCAACAUAGUAUUGGAAAUCCUGGCCAGAGCAAUCAGGCAAGAGAAAGAUAUAAAAGGUAUCCACAUUAGAAGAGAGGAAGUCAAACUAUUCCUUUUUGAGACAAUAUGAUUCUUUUCCUGGAGAAUCCUACAGUCUCUACUCAAAAACUCCUUGAACUGAUAAACAAAUUCUGCAAUCAGGAUACAAAAUCAGUGUACAAAAAUCAACAGCCUUUCUAUAUACCAACGACAUACAAGUUGGGAACCCAAUAAAGAAUUCAAUCUCAUUCCCAAUAGCCAAAAGAAAAAUAAGGUACCUAGGAAUACAGCUAACUAUAGAGGUUAAAGGUUUCUACAAUGAGAAUUACAAAACUGCUGAAAGAAAUGAGAGAUAACAGAAACAAAGGAAAAACAUUUCAUACUCAUGGAUAGGAAGAAUCAGUAUUGUUAAAAUGGCCAUACUGCCCAAAGCAGUUUACAGAUUCAAUGCUGUUAAUAUCAAGCUACCAAUGACAUUCUUCACAGAAUUAGAGAAACUAUUUUAAAAUUCAUAUGGAACACAACAAAAAGCUUCAAUAACCAAGGCAACCCUAAGUAAAAAAAAUGAUGGGGGCAUUUUACUGCCUAACUUUAUUCUACAAAACUAGAGUAACCAAAACAGCAUGAUACUCUUACAGACACAUACAGCAAUGGAACAGAAUAGAGAGCCCAGAAAUAAUGCCAUACACCUACAACCAUAUUAUCAUCAAAAAUGUUGAUAAAAACAAGCAAUGGAGAAAGGACUUCUCAUUCAAUAAAUGGGAGAUAUGAACCAAGACCCUUUCCUUACACCAACAUACAAAAAUAACUCAAGAUGGAUUAAAGUCUUAAAUGUAAAACCUGAAAUUAUAAAAACCAUGGAAGGUAACCUAGAAAAUAACAUUCUGGACACAGGCCUUAAAAAUUUCAUGACUUAGACGCCAAAAGCAGUUGCAAUAAAAACAGAUAUUGACAAAUGAGACCUAAUUACAUGAAAGAGCUUCUGCACAGCAAAAAUAACCAUCAGCAGAGUAAAUAGACCACCUUCAGGGUGGGAGAAAAAUAUUUGUAAGCUACACAUCUGACAAGGUUCUUAUAUCCUGAAUCUAUAAAGAACUUAAACAAAUUAACAAGCAAGAAAUCCCCAAACAAUCUCAUGCAAAAGUGGGCAAAGGACAUGAACAAAUACUUUUCUUAAGAAGAGUUAUGUGUGGCCAAGAAGAACAUGAAAAAAUGCUCAACAUACAAAUUAUUAGAGAAACAAUAAUCAACAACCACAGUGAGAUACCAUCUUAUACCAGUCAGAAUAGCUAUCAUUAAAAAGUCAAAAAAAUGACACAUGCGGGCAAGGUUGUAGAGAAAAGGGAAUAUUUAUACACGACUGGUGGGAAUGUAAAUUAGUUCAGCCAUUGUGAAAAGCAGUUUGGUGAUUUCUGAAAGAACUUUAAAAAUAACUACCAUUCAACUCAGCAAUUCCAUUAUUGGGUAUAUAAGAAAAAGGAAAAGAAAUCAUUCUGCAAAAUAGAAAAUGCACUUGUAUGUUUAUUUCAGUACUUUCACAAUUGCAAAGACAUGGAAUCAACAUGAAUGCCCAACAGUGGUAGACUGGAGAAAGAAAAUGUGGUACAUAUACACUAUGAAAUACUACACAGCCAAAAAAAAAAAAAAUGGAUGAGAUCAUCUCCUUUGCAGUAAUAUGGAUGGAGCUGGAGUUCAGUAUCCUAAGCAAAAUAACAUAGGAGCAGAAUACCAAAUACUGCAUGUUCUGACUUAUAAGUAGGAGCUAAACACUGAGUAGACAUGGACACAAAGAAGAGAACAGCACACACCCAGGCCUACUUGAUGACAGAGGGAGGGAGGACAUGAAGAUUGAAAACUACUUAAGAGGUACUAUGCCUAUUACCUGGAUGACAGAAUAAUCUGUAUAAUAAAUCCUCAUGACAUGCAAUUUACCUAUAUAAUAAACCUGCACAUGUACCCAGAACCUAAAAUAAAAGUUUGUAAGAAAUAAAUAAAAAAUAAAAUGAAGAAGUAUUUGCUAAGGGAUAUUUUUAUUUUGGAGGUUAGUAUAUUAAUAGGUAUGUGAUGCAUAUUAACUAGCAUAAUCUGAGAAAUUUGUAAAGGAAAAUAUCAUCUUGCUAAGUGAUUAGAUCUCUGCCAAAAAUAAAUUUACAGUUGUCGUAAGAAUUGAAAAUUUAUGUGGUUUAUGGAUAGAAGGCUUACAAAAUCACUAUGAUUUUCAUUCAGAUUAGUGUGUGAUUUAUUUCAGUAGAAAACUUUGUUUGUGAUAACAACAUGAACCACUGCUAAGAAUUCAAUGCAUUGUAAACAUAGACACAUUCCAGUCAUAGAAACAUGUACACUGUGAAGGAUAAGUAGAUAUUUAUCAAAUUAUACAUACAUAUACAUAUCAGCAUAUUUGUGUGUAUAUAUGUAAAACAUUGUAACCAUGGCCACCACCUUUAGUAAAGGUGCAUGGUGAUAUGAAUGUUUAUAAUAGGGAAUUACCUAAUCAUGAAAGUUAGGAAACACUUUCCUGAACAACUGAUGUUUGAACUUUAACCUCUGGGAUGAUGUGUUAGAGUUGGCUGAUGAAUGAGAGUAUCCUUACAGGGAGAGCCCCUAUAGCAGAAGGAAAAGUAGAUGAAAAAAUUGUAUUUGUACUUAGAAUUUAAUUUUAAAUUUUACUGAUAUUUGUGUUAAUAUCAUUGUCUAAUACUAUUCUUUUACAUAAGCCUUAAUGGAGACCACCCAAUUGGUUCCUUCAAAAAAGGUAUGUUAAUUCAUAUUAGGGACCUAUAGUAGAUGUCAUAAAACUUACGAUUAAUUUAAACAUUAUACCUGUUUAAAAUUACAGCUUAGUAAUUUCAGUCAUUUGUAUUAUAUUAAAAUGGGAAGAUACACAGUGUUAGAAGUCAGAUUAAAGGUCAUGUAACUCAACUUGUAUGCUGAGUGUUGAGAAAAGAAAACUUGGAUGUUCUCUAUGGUUAUUUGGGUCAUUCAGAAUGACAUGUAGUCCUGAAUACAUUUUAAAAAUUAAAUUAGCUUAUCAGUUGUCCAAUUUAACAUGUUUAGAUUCAUCUUCGUAUCUGAUAACAAUUGUUUGUUUUUAUAUUUAGUAUACUUUGAAAAAUCACAGACUUCACAUUAACAUGUAAGCAUUCUAAAAAGACACAAAAGCACAUGAAUUUAGAAUUUAAACUUUGAGGACUUCCGCCAAGAUGGCCAAGUAGGAACAGCUCCAGAGCACAGUUCCCAGUGAGAGAGAUGCAGAGGGCCAGUGAUCCACAUUUCCAACCAAGGUACCAGGUUAAUUUUGAUGGGACUGGUUGGACAGUGGCUGUAGCCCAAGGAUGGUGAGCCAAGGCAGGGCAGGGCGCUGCCCCACCUGGGAAGUGCAACUGGCCUAAGGAUCAGGGACUUUAUCCCCUCGGCAUUCAGGUUCAGAUACCAUGCUUCUCCCAUGGCCUCUGCAACCCACAGUCCAGGAGAAUGAGGCCGGGCUGAAAAGCACUGCAAGUUACCAAAACAGAUCUGAGUGACAGCACCAGCUGGCUCAAUGCCAUAAGUUGGUACAGAUCUGGACAGAAGUUUUGACUAGUGCCAAGAUUGCCUGCAAGAUGGAUCUACCUAGCCCCCAGAAAGAGGGAGAGCUGAAAGCAGGGAGAUAGGUGAUACUGCUUGUCAGAUCCCAUGCCAACAAAGAGCGGCAAACUGAAGCCCUCUCACUUGAGAGAGUUUCACAGCUAGCACAUCAGUUUGGGCUCUACCUGGGAUUGUUGAGCUCAGUGGGGGAAGGGUAUCUGCCUUUGUGAAGGCAGGUCUAAUCUCACCUGUGUAAAUAAAGCCAGAGGAAGCCUACACAGCAGUUGGGCUGAGUCCGAAGCAGCCCAGCAGUGCCUCUGCAGGCAGACAAGGGACAGACUGCCUCCUCAAGCAUCUCCCUGACCACUAAAUAACCAAAGAAAAUGCCUCAUACAGGAGAGCGGGAACCCUUCUGGGAUGAAACUACCAGAGGAAAGGUCAGGCAACAAUCCUCAUUGCUCCACAGCCCCCACAGGUGAUUCCCAGGCAAGCAAGGUUGGGAGUGGCCCUCUAGCUGUCCUACAGCAGAGGGGCCUGAGUAUUAGAAGGAAAAUGAAAAAACAGAAAAAUAUAGUUUCAACAUCAAAAGAAAGGACAUCCACUCAGAGACCCCAUCCGAAAUUACCAACUUCAAAGACUAAAGGUAGAUAAAUCCAUUAAGAUGGGAAGAAACCAGCACAAAAAGGAUGAAAUCAUUAAAGACCAGAACACCUUUCCUUCUACAAGGGAAUCACAACUCCUCACCAGCAAGGGAACAAAACAGGUUGGAGAAUGAGUUUGAUGAAAUGACAGAAGCAGGCUUCAAAGGUGGGUAAUAAGCUUCUCUGAGCUAAAGGAAAUGUUCUAACUGAAUGCAAAGAAACUGAAAACUGUGAAAAAAAGUUUAGACAAAAUGCUAAUUAGAAUAACCAGCUUAAAGAAAAACAUAAAUGACUUGAUGGAGCUGAAAAACACAAUAUAAGAACUUCAUGAAGCAUACACAAAUUUUAAUAGCUGAAUUGAUGAAGCAGAAGAAAAUAUAUCAGAGAUUGAAAAUCAACUCAAUGAAAUAAAAUGAAAAGUCAAGAUUAAAGAAAAAAGAGUGAAAAGAAAUGAACAAAUCCUCCACGAAAUAUGGGAUUAUGUGAAAAGACCUAAUUUAUGCUUAAUUGGUGUACCUGAAUGUGACGAGGAGAAUGAAUCCAAGCUGGAAAACACUCUUCAGGAUAUUAUUCAGGAGAACUUCCCCAACCUAGCAAAGGAAGCCAAUAUUCAAGUCCAGAAAAUGCAGAGAACACCACAAAGAACUCCUCAAGAAGAGCAACCCCAAGACACAUAAUCAUCAGAUUCACUAGGGUUGAAAUGAAGGAAGAAAAUGCUAAGGGCAGCUAGAGAGAAAGGUCUGGUAACCCACAAAGGGAAGACCAACAGACUCACAUUGGAUAUCUUGGCAGAAAUCCUACAAGCCAGAAGAGAGUGGGGGCCAAUAUUCAACAUCCUUAAAGAAAAUAACUUUAAACCCAGAAUUUAAUACCCAGCCAAACUAAGUUUCAUAAGUGAAGGAGAAAUAAAAUCCUUUAUGGACAAGCAAAUGCUGAGAGAUUUCAUCACCACCAGACCUACCUUAGAAGAGCUCCUGAAGGAAGCACUAAACAUGGAAAGAAACAACCAAUACCAGCCACUCGAAAAAUGUACCAAAUGGUUAAGAUAAUGACGUAAUGAAGAAACUGCAUCAACUAACGGGCAAAGCAACCAGCCAGUAACAAAAUGGCAGGAUCAAACUCACACAUAACAACAUUAACGUUAAAUGUAAAUGGCCUAAAUGCCCCAAUCAAAAAGACACAGACUGGCAAACUGGAUAAAAAGUCAAGACCCAUACAUGUGCUGUAUUCAGGAGACCCAUCACACAUGCAAAGACACACAUAGACUGAAAAUAAAGGCAGGGAAGAAGAUUUGCCAAGCAAAUGGAGAGCAUAAAAAAAAAGGAGGAGUUGCAGUCCUAGUCUCUGAUAAAAUGGACUUUAAACAAACAAAGAUCAAAAGAGACAAUGAAGGGCAUUGCAUAAUGAUAAAAGGAUCAAUGCAACAAGAAGAGCUAAUGAUCCUAAAUGUAUAUGGACCCAAUACAGGAGCACCCAAUGCAUGAAGCAAGCUCUUAACAACCUACAAAGAGACUUAGACUCCCACACAAUAAUAGUGGGAUACUUUAACACUCCACUAUCAAUAUUAGACAGAUCAACCAGACAGAAAAUUAACAAGCAUAUCCAGGAUUUGAACACAGAUCUGUACCAAGUGGACCUAAUAGACAUGUACAGAACUCUCCACACCAAAUCCACAGAAUAAACAUUCUUCUCAAUGCCACAUCAUUGGAAGUAAAUCAGUCCUCAGCAAAUGCCAAAAAAAUCAGACCAACACUCAGGAUUAAGAAACUCACUAAAAACUGCACAACUAUGUGGAAACUGAACAACUUGUUCCCGAAUGAUUAAUGGAUAAACAAUAAAAUGAAGGCAUAAGUAAAGAUGUUCUUUGAAACCAAUGAGAAUGAAGACACAAGGUACCAGAAUCUCCUGGACACAUUUAAAGCAGUGUCUAGAGGAAAAUUUAUAGUAAUAAAUGCCCACAUGAGAAGCAAGGAAAGAUCUAAGAAAUAACUAAGAUCAGAGCAGAACUGAAGGAGAUAGAGACACAAAAAGCCCUUCAAGAAAUCAAUAAAUCCAGGACCUGUUUUUUUUUUUUGACAAGAUCAACAAAAUAGACAAAGUGCUAGGCAGACUAAUAAAAAGGAAAAGAGAGAAGAAUCAAAUAGAUGUGAUAAAAAAUGAUAAAGGGGAUAUCACCACUGAUUCCACAGAAAUACAGACUACCAUCAGAGAUUACUACAAAUAACUCUAUUCACAUAAACCAGUAAAUCUGGAAGAAAUGGAUAAAUUCCUGGACACUUGCACUCCCCCAAGACUAAACCAGGGAGAAGUUGAAACUGGAUAGACCAAUAACAAGGGCUGAAGUUGAAGCAGCAAUUAACAGCCUACCAACCAAAAAAAGUCCAGGUGCAGACGAGUUCACAGCCGAAUUCUACCAUAUAUUCAAUGAGGAGCUGGUAUCAUUUAUUCUGAAUCUAUGUGACACAAUACAAAAAGAGGGAAUCCUCCCUAACUGAUUUUAUGAGACCAACAUCAUCCUGAUACCAAAGCCUGGCAGAGACACAACUGAAAAACAAAACUUCAGGCAAUAUCUGUGAUGAAGAUUGAUGCAAAAAUCUUCAAUAAAAUACUGGCAAAGUGAAUGUAACAGCACAUCAAAAAGCUUAUCCAUCAUGAUCAAGUAGGCCUCAUCCCAGGGAUGCGAGGCUGGUUCAACAUAUGCAAAUCUAUGAAUGUAAUCCAUCACAUAAACAGAACCAAAGACAAAAACCACAUGAUUAUCUCAAUAGAUGCAGAGUAGGCCUUUGACAAAAUUCAAUUGUUCUUUAUGCUAAAAAUUCUCAAUAAACUGUGUAUGAUGGAACAGAUCUCAAAACAAUAAAAGCUAUUUAUGACACACCCACAGCCAAUAUCAUACUGAACGGGCAAUAUCUGGAAGCAUUCCCUUUGAAAACUGGCACUAGACAGGGAUGCCCUCUCUCAACACUCCUAUUCAAUAUAGUACUGGAAGUUCUAGCUAGAGCAAUCAGGCAAGAAAAAGAAAUAAAGGAUAUUCAAUUAGGAAAGGAGGAAGUCAAAUUGUCUUUAUUUGCAGAUGACAUGAUUGUAUAUGUAGAAGACCCCAUUGUCUCAGCCCAAAAUCUCCUGAAACUGAUAAGCAGCUUCAGCAAAGUCUCAGGAUACAAAAUCAAUGUGCAGAAAUCACAAGUAUUUCUAUACACCAAUAACAGACUUAAAGAGACCCAUAUCAAGAGCAAACUCCCAUUCAAGGUUGCUACAAAGAGAAUAAAAUAUCUAGGAAUACAACUAACAAAGGAUGUAAAGGAUCUCUUCAAAGAGAACUACAAACCACUGCUCAAGGAAUUAAGAGAGGAUACAAACAGAUGGAAAAACAUUCUAUGCUCAUGGUUAGGAAGAAUCAAUAUUGUGAAAAUGGACAUACUACCCAGAGUUAUUUAUAGACUCAAUGUUAUCCCAUCAAGCUAGCAUUGACCUUUUUCACAGAACUGGAAAAAAACAACUUUAAACUUCAUAUGGAACCAAGAGAGCCUGCAUAGCCAAAACAAUCCUAAGCAAAAGAACGAAGCUGGAGGCAUCAUGCUACCUGACUUCAAACUAUAUUACAAGGCUACAGUAAUCAAAACAGCAUGGUACUGGUACCAAAACAGAGAUAUAGACCAGUGGAACAGAACAGAGGCCUCAGAGGCAACACCACACAUCUACAUCCAUCUGAUCUUUGACAAACCUGACAAAAAUAAGCAAUGGGGAAAGGAUUCCCUCUUUAAUAAAUGGUGUUGGAAAACUGGCUAGCCAUGUGCAGAAAGCUGAAACUGGACCUGUUCCUUAUACCUUACACUAAAAUUAACUCUAGAUGGAUUAAAGAUUUAAACAUAAGACCUAACACUAUAAAAACCCUAGAAGAAAACCUAGGCAAUCCCAUUCAGGACAUAGGCAUAGGCAAGGACUUCAUGACUAAAACACCAAAAGCAAUGGCAACAAAAGCCAAAAUAAACAUUUGGGACCUAAUUAAACUUAAGAGUUUCUGCACAGCAAAAGUAACAAUCAUUAGAGUGAACUGGCAACCAACAGAAUGGGAAAAAAUUUUUGCGAACUACCCUUCUGACAAAGGCCUAAUAUCCAGAAUCUACAAAGAACUAAAGCAGAUUUACAAGAAAAAAACCAACAAACCCCUUCAAAAGUGGGCGAAGGGCAUGAAUAGACACUUUUCAAAAGACAUUAAUGAGGCCAACAUAUGAAAAAAUGCUCAUCAUCACUGGUCAUCAGAGACAUGCAAAUCAAAACCACACUGAGAUACCAUCUCAUACCACUUAGAAUGGCGAUCAUUAAAAAAUCUGGAGACAGCAGAUGCUGGAGAGGAUGUGGAGAAAUAGGAACACUUUUACACUGUUGGUUGGAGUGUAAAUUAGUUCAACAAUUUUGGAAGACAGUGUGGCAAUUCCUCAGGAACCUAGAAAUGGAAAUUCCAUUUGACUUAGCAAUCCCAUUACUGGGCAUAUAUCCUAAAGAAUAUAAACCAUUCUAUUAUAAGACACAUACACACAUAUGUUCAUUGUGGCACUGUUUACAAUAGCAAAGACCUGGAACCAAUCCAAAUGCCCAUUAGUGAUAGACUGGACAAGGAAAAUGUGGCACAUAUAUGCCAUGAGUACUAUGCAAUCAUAAAAAAGGGUGAGUUUUUGUCCUUUUUGGGGACAUGAAUGAAUCUGGAAACCAUCAUUCUCCACAAACUGGCACAAGAACAGAAAACCAAACACCACAUGUUCUCACUCAUAGGCUGGUGUUGAGCAAUGAGAACACAUGGACACAGGAAGGUCUGUUGGGUAGUUGGUUCUAGAGGAGGGA